rnacentral:tRNA from 1 species
CGGAUGUGGCGGAAUUGGUAGACGCGCUAGACUUAGGAUCUAGUGCCAUACGGCGUGGGGGUUCGAGUCCCUUCAUCCGC